rnacentral:rRNA from 1 species
UAUGGCGACCGGCGCACGGGUGAGUAACACGUAUCCAACCUGCCGAUGACUCGGGGAUAGCCUUUCGAAAGAAAGAUUAAUACCCGAUGGCAUAGUUCUUCCGCAUGGUGGAACUAUUAAAGAAUUUCGGUCAUCGAUGGGGAUGCGUUCCAUUAGGUUGUUGGCGGGGUAACGGCCCACCAAGCCUUCGAUGGAUAGGGGUUCUGAGAGGAAGGUCCCCCACAUUGGAACUGAGACACGGCCCAGACUCCUACGGGAGGCAGCAUG